rnacentral:lncRNA from 1 species
AAGAAGCUAAGAGUAGGUUGGAUCUUUAUCAGUCCAAGGGCUCAAAAUACCAAUGCCAUUGAUUUUAUCAGAAGGCAGAGCGGUUUCCUAUUCCUUGAAAAGAGAAAAGAUGUCAUUCUUUUGUUUAUGUUUUAUCGUUGUCAUGGAGUGUACAUACUAUGUAAUUUACAACUUUCUCAGUCAAAUGAAUAUCUUCUUCUUUGAAUUUUUUUGUUUUCCCACCCAAGAGCCUAAUUUGUUAUUGUUGUUAAAAUAUUUGGUCAGUGUCAAGACCAGAAAGUUUGGUAUCAUAAGUUUUGAUUUUUGAAUAAGCAAUUAUCUUCUCAAAGCAAAUUCAAACUAGUAUGCUGGUUUUAUCAUUUCUAAAUUUGAUUAUUAUGCUAAACAAACAGGGUUGUUAUAGCCAUCAUGGGAGAAAAUUUCAAACACCCCACCCAAUCAUCUAUUUUAAUUAUGUUCACCUGAUUCCAUCAGUUAAUAACAGAUUAUUGAAGGCAGUUUCCAUUAUGAAUGCUCCAAAAUCAGAAUGCAGCAGUCUAAGUUCCAUUUACAUCCUUCUAACGGUGGCUCCCGGAAGUACACCCAAAUGGAUGGCUGCCGGGGUGUUACAACGUAUAGAGGUUGGAGCCAGUCUUUGUUAAUUACAUUAUCUACAGAAUUAAAAUUCAAUAGAGUGAAAGAGUUCUAUAGAGCCAUGAUUGAAGAGUAAAAACAAUAUCUGCAAAAUAUAUAUUUUUCACCAAUCAGGAUUCAGGAUCUUUUUGUGUGUAAUCAGAAAGGCUAUAACUAAUCACAAAUCAUUUCAACUAUCAGGGUCCAUGGUCCAACUAUUCAAUACUGCAAAUGUAAGUAAGACAAGCACCAUCAGGAAUCUUACAUAAGCUGAAGCUCUUGUUUGGGUCAUUAUACAAGCAUUAGCUGACAUUGACUUUCCUCCAGGCAGCACAACUGCAGAUUUUCCCCAACCAAAAUGUUGUAAGAAUGGAAAAUACAAUGUUUUCAAGCCAAAUGCUACCUACAAUAAUGAAUUUCUACGCAAGUGGAGCAGCCAUAUAUAUAUAUAUGUAUAUAUAUAGUCACAUUGAAAAUGGGAUUCAUUCACAAGUAUGAACAUGCAACCAAUUUGGUAGGUAUGUGGCAGGAAUAUGGAUACCAACCGCAACUAGUGAAUGAUUCUGAAAUAAGCUCAAUUAUCUCAAAGUCUCAAAAUUUAAUAUGAGCACACAAUCUGCUACAAUAGUAUACAUAAUAGGAGAAACUCCAUAUAGUAGACCAAUAGAGGAAAAAUAAAAAGAGGAUAUCUUGCUUUUCAUUCAAUAGUAAGUUAUGUGGGUUAAGUCGCAGCGCAUUGCGCUACACUCGGGUUAGAGAUGCAUAUUUAGCAAGCAUUUCAUACUGAAAAUAGUCAAUUUGAUCAUCCAAGAAAUUAAUAUAAGUCUUUGCAGUCAUCAAGUAAGUUCAUGUGUAUAACAGAUUCUAGAAACUUAUUGCUUCAAAUGAGAAUUUGGUUUGGUUUCAAAAAGCAGAAAGCAAUUCCUUAUAGCUAAAUCUUAUAGCCAAAUCAAAAUGACCACUGCUACAUCAAACAUGAAACAAGUGAGCCAGCCUCACACACUUGGGUACAAGCUCCUGCAGGGAAUAAACUGAACAACAGCUAAAGAUGAGAGACAGCAAUGCAUGAAUUUUCUGCCAACACAUAUGACCAAUUCAAAAUCCAACAACACCAGAUAGAAAACUAAAAUUCAGAAAACACCUACAAAUUGUUUUGAUCCAUUUUCCACAUUUAAACCGAGAAAAAUCAAAUCAAAUAGGCAAUGCAUGUUUUUCAAUGGGUAGGUAGGUCCUCAACCUGAUUACCAAUUCACAAUCCCCACUAGCCAGUAAUGAGAACAAAAUUUCAGCUAAGAGAUUCGAAAAAUCAGAUACGCAAGCAAUAAACUACGACAUUGCGAAUCAUAGAGCAUUGAGAUUGAGGACUCACCUAGUGACUCUUCGAAUUCAAACAAUUUGAAGAUCAAUUUGUUUCCUAGUCCUCUAGGGCUUUUGAUUUCCCAGUUUCCCAAUGAGAGAGAGAGGAGGGGGAAGAAAGAUAAUCAAUUCAAUUCAAACGGCCCACCGUCUUGUGCUUCCCCGCGGUUCCGCGAACAAAGCCAAAAACCGUUUCAUUUGUCCGUUACGAACUUACGAGCCUGACCCGCUUUAUCCAUCCCGCUUCGGGUCUGAACCGGGUUGAGAAGGGAUAUACCAGACCCG